AGAGUUUGAUCCUGGCUCAGGACGAACGCUGUCGGCGCGCCUAACACAUGCAAGUCGAACGAUUCUUGCAAUCAGCUUGCUGGUUGCAAGAAGAGUGGCGGACGGGUGAGUAACGCGUGAGCAACCUGCCUUUCAGAGGGGGAUAACGUCUGGAAACGGACGCUAAUACCGCAUAAUGUAGCGAGAUCGCAUGGUCAUGCUACCAAAGGAGUAAUCCGCUGAGAGAUGGACUCGCGUCCAAUUAGCUAGUUGGUGAGGUAAUGGCUCACCAAGGCGACGAUUGGUAGCCGGACUGAGAGGUCGAACGGCCACAUUGGGACUGAGACACGGCCCAGACUCCUACGGGAGGCAGCAGUGGGGAAUAUUGCACAAUGGGGGAAACCCUGAUGCAGCGACGCCGAGUGAGGGAAGAAGGUCUUCGGAUUGUAAACCUCUGUCCUUGGUGAAGAAAUUGACGGUAACCAAGGAGGAAGCUACGGCUAACUACGUGCCAGCAGCCGCGGUAAUACGUAGGUAGCGAGCGUUGUCCGGAAUUACUGGGUGUAAAGGGAGCGUAGGCGGGAUGUCAAGUUGAAUGUUAAAUUUAUGGGCUCAACCCAUAACCGCGUUCAAAACUGGCAUUCUUGAGUGAAGUAGAGGCAGGCGGAAUUCCUAGUGUAGCGGUGGAAUGCGUAAAUAUUAGGAGGAACACCAGUGGCGAAGGCGGCCUGCUGGGCUUUAACUGACGCUGAGGCUCGAAAGCGUGGGGGGCAAACAGGAUUAGAUACCCUGGUAGUCCACGCUGUAAACGAUGAUUACUAGGUGUGGGGGGAUUGAACCCUUCCGUGCCGGAGUUAACACAAUAAGUAAUCCACCUGGGGAGUACGGCCGCAAGGCUGAAACUCAAAGGAAUUGACGGGGGCCCGCACAAGCAGUGGAGUAUGUGGUUUAAUUCGACGCAACGCGAAGAACCUUACCAGGUCUUGACAUCCUAUGACCACCCAAGAGAUUGGGUUUCCCUUCGGGGCAUAGAGACAGGUGGUGCAUGGUUGUCGUCAGCUCGUGUCGUGAGAUGUUGGGUUAAGUCCCGCAACGAGCGCAACCCUUACUGUUAGUUGCUACGCAAGAGCACUCUAGCAGGACUGCCGUUGACAAAACGGAGGAAGGUGGGGAUGACGUCAAAUCAUCAUGCCCCUUAUGACCUGGGCUACACACGUACUACAAUGGGUAUUAACAGAGGGACGCAAGACAGUGAUGUGGAGCAAAUCCCUAAAAGUACUCUCAGUUCGGAUUGCAGGCUGCAACUCGCCUGCAUGAAGUCGGAAUUGCUAGUAAUCGCGGAUCAGAAUGCCGCGGUGAAUACGUUCCCGGGCCUUGUACACACCGCCCGUCACACCACGAGAGUUGGCAACACCCGAAGUCGGUAGUCUAACCGCAAGGAGGACGCCGCCUAAGGUGGGGUUGAUAAUUGGGGUGAAGUCGUAACAAGGUA
rnacentral:rRNA from 1 species